CCUCAGGACGGCGCGGCACAAGCGGCACCCAUCGGGAGGACUUUGGGGUUGAGCACGGGUCCUCCUCAUCGGGACCCGGGCAUGGCGGGGGCGCGCACGGCUGCUCCUCCUCCCGCUGCCGCCAGAGGGCGCCGCUCCCGCGCGGCGGCAGUUCCGCGUCCUCGGCAGGGCCGAGCAGCGGCACCGUGAGGGUACCAGAGAUGUGCUGGAGCAGAAGCUUGAAGGUGUACCAUAAACCACCCCUGGCCUGGAGAAGCUGUAGCUGAAGCAAACCCCUCCUUUGUUCUAGUGACACAAUCCUGUGGCCUAACUCAGCAGUCCUCACGGGGCCCUGCUAGGAGUGGUGACACAUCCUCGGGGCCCAUGAGCUGCCGAGGGUUUUGCUUUCCUGUUUCCCAUAACGAGUUGCUUUCUGAGCAGCCUCAGUGGCCUUCAUCCCGUGGAUCUCCGGGGAUGGCUCCAGCAGAAAUAGGUAGGCUUGCAGUGCUCACAUGAAGGUGCUGUCCAGCUCCAAUUUUGCAGGUAAUCGAGUCCACUCAGUGAAGCUGAACAAUUUAAUCCAUGUCUGAUGAAGCCUUGGAUGUAAUUUAU